rnacentral:rRNA from 1 species
UACAGAGGUCUCAAGCGUUGUUCGGAUUCAUUGGGCGUAAAGGGUGCGUAGGUGGCGGGGCAAGUCAGGUGUGAAAUCUCGGGGCUCAACCCCGAAACUGCACUUGAUACUGCCUUGCUUGAGUACUGGAGAGGAGAUUGGAAUUUACGGUGUAGCAGUGAAAUGCGUAGAUAUCGUAAGGAAGACCAGUGGCGAAGGCGAAUCUCUGGACAGUUACUGACACUGAGGCACGAAGGCCAGGGGAGCAAACGGG